GGGCGGUUAGCUCAGCGGUAGAGCAUCGGUCUUACACACCGAGGGUCGCAGGUUCGAUCCCUGCACCGCCCACCA
rnacentral:tRNA from 1 species